rnacentral:misc_RNA from 1 species
AGUCGUAACAAGGUUUCCGUAGGUGAACCUGCGGAAGGAUCAUUAACACAAAUGAUAAAUCCUUUUGAUGAAGUGUUGUAGUUGCUAUUAACCUAGUGACUACACACAUUCAUCAAAAUUACCACAAUGGAAAAUGUUAAAGUCUAUUAACAUUAUUAUUAAUGUUAAUAGUUACUUUAAUAACCUUCUCUUCAUAUACAAACCAUGAAAUCCUUUCUAAUUGUACUUAUGAUUAUAUCAUAACUAAAUAAUAUAAUCUUAAAACACAACUUUUAGCGACGGAUCUCUUGGCUCAU